rnacentral:rRNA from 1 species
UAAGGAAUAUUGGUCAAUGGACGCAAGUCUGAACCAGCCAUGCCGCGUGGAGGAUUAAGGCCCUCUGGGUUGUAAACUCCUUUUAUCUGGGAAGAAAUGUCCUUUUUCUUGAGUACUUGACGGUACCAGAGGAAUAAGCACCGGCUAACUCCGUGCCAGCAGCCGCGGUAAUACGGGGGGUGCAAGCGUUAUCCGGAUUCACUGGGUUUAAAGGGUGCGUAGGUGGGCAGGUAAGUCAGUGGUGAAAUCUCCGGGCUUAACCCGGAAACUGCCGUUGAUACUAUUUGUCUUGAAUAUUGUGGAGGUAAGCGUAAUAUGUCAUGUAGCGGUGAAAUGCUUAGAUAUGACAUAGAACACCAAUUGCGAAGGCAGCUUACUACACAAUCAUUGACGCUGAGGCACGAAAGCGUG